rnacentral:rRNA from 1 species
AUUGAACGCUGGCGGCAGGCCUAACACAUGCAAGUCGAACGGUAACAGGAAGAAGCUUGCUUCUUUGCUGACGAGUGGCGGACGGGUGUGUAAUGUCUGGUAAACUGCCUUAUGGAGGGGGAUAAUUACUGGAAACGGUAGCUAAUACCGCAUAACCUCGCAAGCCCAAAGAGCAGGACCUUCGGGCCUCUUGCCAUCGCAUGUGCUCAGAUGGGUUUAUCUAGUAGGUUGGGUAACGGCUCACCUAGGCGACGAUCCCUAGCUGGUCUGAGAGGAUGACCAGCCACACUGGAACUGAGACACGGUCCAGACUCCUACGGGAGGCAGCAGUGGGGAAUAUUGCACAAUGGGCGCAAGCCUGAUGCAGCCAUGCCGCGUGGAUGAAGAAGGCCUUCGGGUUGUAAAGUACUUUAAGCGGGGAAGAAGGGAAUAAAGUUAAUACCUUUGCUUAUUGACGUUACCCGCAGAAGAAGCACCGGCUAACUCCGUG